rnacentral:sRNA from 2 species
CUCUAUUUUAAAUAUACAGAUUUUCAAACUCGUUGUUAUUUUAUUGUAACCAUGCCACCGCCGACCUCUUCCACCUCUUCAACUCCCCACUCCCAUCAUCACCGCUCGCGCCGCAUCGAAGACGCGCUAAGCCAACUCGUCGACUCCCUCAUCCCCACCACCAUCCCCCGCCACAAUGAAGACGAUGAAACCCUUUCCGAAACAUCGACGGACGAAUAUGCGCGUCUCGAAGCGGCCGAGGCCGACGAGCGACGGCACAGACGCUGUUUGGAAAUGGCAUGGCGGGUUCUGGAUUCCCACACAGCAGCCGCGGCUGCGGCCAGUUCUACAGGGAUAGGUGGUGGCGGUGUCGUUUCAGCGGACGUUAUCAACAAUGCGCCAGACCUGAUCAAGCGCAAGUUGCUGAGAGAAAAUGCGUCGCCGGACAAAGCGGUGCGGUUCUCGAAUUUGUAUUCGAGGCUGUUGACGCAGCCGGUGCUGGG